rnacentral:snoRNA from 1 species
AUCCCAUGAUGUGGACAUUUUCACAGCAUAUUUUUGAACCUAUUUCAGGCUUCAUCAAAAUUCUCUGAGUCGCCUUGACGAAAAAUAGAUAUGUUAUGCUUGAGCUU